rnacentral:lncRNA from 1 species
GGUUUAGAAGAGUUUAUAUACUUGUAAAAGUUUUAAAGUACUCAAAAAUAACACAUUAAAAAAAAAACACCAUGACAAAAGCAUACUAAAUUUGAGGACAUUUAUCUAACAUAAAUGGGACUGAUUUUUUGAAGGGAGUUUAGUCCAUUUAAUUUGAAUUCAACACAAUAUUAACAGAAAAAGUGAAGAUGAUUCUAAUAUUCUAGUUAGAUUUAUAAAUAAAACAAAUUUUCUAAGUCAGUCUUAAAGUCUCAAGGAAACUAGAUUAAAAUGCACUUAUUCUAUACAUUGAAUGUUAACUUUUAAAAUGCAAGUAUGAAAAAUAGCAUCUUCUGUCCAUAGAAGUCAUACAUGAAUGUUAAAAAACUCACAUUGGCAAAAUAUAUUUAAUUAUCAGCCAAAUUCUCUAAGCAUAACAUCUGCUACCUUCUUUAUCCCAGGCCCUUAGUUAGCCUGUGGUCCUCUCUUCACAAGUUUUAAGAUAGAGUGAUAUUCUUGGUGGUGAUGAUUUAACCCAAUUAACUUCGAGGCAAAAGAAUUGAGAACAUAAUGAUGAAAGGGGAAGGAGUC